rnacentral:rRNA from 1 species
GUCCACGCCGUAAACGAUGUCAACUAGCCGUUGGGCACCUUAGUGUGCUUGGUGGCGCAGCUAACGCGAUAAGUUGACCGCCUGGGGAGUACGGUCGCAAGAUUAAAACUCAAAUGAAUUGACGGGGGCCCGCACAAGCGGUGGAGCAUGUGGUUUAAUUCGACGCAACGCGAAGAACCUUACCAGGUCUUGACAUCCAGAGAAGUCGCUAGAGAUAGCUUCGUGCCUUCGGGAACUCUGAGACAGGUGCUGCAUGGCUGUCGU